AACGAACGCUGGCGGCGUGCUUAAUACAUGCAAGUCGAACGAGGGCACCUUGUAGCAAUACGAGGUGUCCCUAGUGGCGAAUGGGUGCGUAACACGUAGGUGACCUGCCCCGAAGUGUGGAAUAACAGUUCGAAAGGACUGCUAAUACCGCAUGUGGUCCCGGAGGUUAGAGGCUCCGGGUCUAAAGCUGCUCGCAAGAGUGGCGCUUCGGGAGGGGCCUGCGGCCCAUCAGGUAGUUGGUAGGGUAACGGCCUACCAAGCCAUCGACGGGUAGGGGAUCUGAGAGGAUGGUCCCCCACACUGGC
rnacentral:rRNA from 1 species